rnacentral:lncRNA from 1 species
UCUAGCAGGUAAUAUGGGCCGCGUCAUGGUGGUGACCAGUUUCUGAAUUCAUUCCAAGUGUACUCGUACCCUAGUCUAAAGGUAGUAACAUGUUUAUUCAACUGGAUAUGUUUGGUGAUUCCUUGAAGAUUCUUACCAAGUCCUUUCCCUGGUUUAUACCCACUCCAAUUUAGAAUGGUUUUGACCUUGUUGCUCCACCAUUUGUCCUUGUCCACUGCGUUGACCCGCUCAAUAUGAUGAUAUGUUUCUCCGCCUAUCCUCCUACUGCCUCCGAUCAUUAGAAUGAUCUGGCGACUAUAAAUGGGGUUGCUACCGUCUCAAUGGAUGAUUACCUCUUGAUGGUUCCAUUCGAACUUCACGGCCUGAUGUAAGGUUAAUGCCACACCCCAAGCAGCGUGGAUCCAGGGUCGUCCCAGCAGUAAGUUUUAAGAUGCUGGUACGUCGUUGACUUGGAAGUCAACAUCAAAC